AAGCAAAGAAGUAAAAUAUUACAUUUAGUUUCGACCUAAAAAUAGAGUUUAUACUCCUUGCUUU
rnacentral:tRNA from 1 species